rnacentral:rRNA from 1 species
CAGCCGCCGCGGGAAUACGAAGGGUGCAAGCGUUAAUCGGAAUUACUGGGCGUAAAGCGUGCGUAGGCGGUGAGUUAAGUCUGCUGUGAAAUCCCCGGGCUCAACCUGGGAAUGGCAGUGGAUACUGGCUCGCUAGAGUGUGUCAGAGGAUGGUGGAAUUCCCGGUGUAGCGGUGAAAUGCGUAGAGAUCGGGAGGAACAUCAGUGGCGAAGGCGGCCAUCUGGGACAACACUGACGCUGAGGCACGAAAGCGUGGGGAGCAAACAGGAUUAGAUACCCCUGUAGUCCCUGUCUCUUAAUA